UUUUUUAACACUAAAAUAUUGUAUUCGCUCCAACAUGUUUUAUUCCCUCCAAUUUCAGUUACCCAAAAAAAAAAAUCAUAAAACAAAAUAAUACAGCUAGGCUACCCAAAAGGAAUAUUGCUUUCAAUUUCCCUCAACCUGAAAAACUGCGGCACUAGGGUUCUCAAUAUUGCUUUCAAUUUCACAAAUUUCCAAUUGCUUUUUCUCCAUUUCACAACCUGAAGAACUCCGAUAGACUUUUUCCGGCGUUGGAUCUGAUUAACUAUUCCAGGAAUUCUCAAAUACUUAUGGCACGCCUUGUGGGAAAUAACUUCAGCGGCGUUGCUCAUCCAGGGGCUCCCAAAAAUGAUGCAUUGUACAAGGAACUCUGCAUGCCUGUGUUGGUCCUCUUGUAAC